rnacentral:rRNA from 1 species
AGAAGGCUAGGCUGGCCUGGUGAUGGUUAUCCAGGUUUAAGCAGGUAGGCUGGGAUCUUAGGUAAAUCCGGGUUCCCUUAAGGCCGAGAUGUGAUGACGAACCGCUCUUAUACGAGCGGGAAGUGGUUGAUGCCAUGCUUCCAAGAAAAACCUCUAAGCUUCAGGUAACAAACGACCGUACCCCAAACCGACACAGGUGGUCAGGUAGAGAAUACCAAGGCGC